CUGAGAUCCUGGGAAUCUUCUCCACUGUCACAGACCUUCUGAAUUAUGCAUUUGUGAUGGAGUUGAGUCCUGGCACAGAGAUCAAGAGGCCGGAAGAGCAGAUUGGAAAAGGGAGUUCAGAAGCUUAGUCCAUGGUCCUGUCCGCUCAAGAUCAGACAUGCUUGGAGCUCUGCUGAAUUUUAAUCUUCACUCUUAUUCAAAACCAUUGACUCCUAACGCCUGGGAAAGCCAGUGGAGAGAGGGCUUCCCUCUGAGUAAAUUCGAGGGAAGCAUGUGGUAGAGAAUACCCAUGGCUGUCUU
rnacentral:lncRNA from 10 species